ensembl:lncRNA
CCAAGGACCAAUCCGCUCAGGCUCUAAUUCAGUUUAAUUCCAAGAUGCAGUGCAGGUUGCUCAUUGGGUCUACAGGGCAAUAAUUCAGUAUUUUGCAAUCCUUUGGAGUCACAGAUCUUGCUGCAGCAGAUUUGGCUUCAGAUUCAUCCAAGUGGUUAUGUUCCUCUCAUAAACCAGUGGACAUAAAGUCUGUGCAUCACAGACACAUGGCACCGGCUGGAUCAGUCUAGUUCUAAGAACUUACAAGUGCUGGAGGCAGGAAGUUUGAAAUCAAGGUGCUGGCAGGGUCAUGCUCCCUCUGAAAGCUUGAAGGAAGAAUCAAGAAGGUGUUCUUGGAAGCUAAACCUUCAACAGAAGGGCUAAGAGGUAAAGUCGAGGAAAUUUUCCAGAUGCAAAAUGCAAGGAUGAAGAGAUUAAAAAGAUAAGAGAAAACAUAAGAGAUCUAAAGGAAUACUCCAAGAGGGCAACACCUAACUAACAGUUUCAGAGAUAGAAAAUGGAGAGAAGGACAUCAUCAAAGAAAAAAAGGGAGCUAUUUUAGAAAGAGAUCUAUUUUCUGGUUUAACAUGACAGAGAAAAUGCCUGAAUUUACGGCUGCUCCCUUGCAAAGCUUCAGUAAAAUGACAACGAGGAAUAAAUCUGUAAGGAUGAAGAGAACGGAAGGAGGUAUUGAAGCAAUCCAUUUGGAAGCUGGGAGGCAGAUGGAUGAGUGGUAACUGCUAAUUGACGCAAGAAAGCUGAAGCCUACGCUAGCUCUGAAAAAAUCCAGAAACCAAAGAACCCUAAAAAGACCCAGGAGUAGGAAGCACCAGUUAACUCUGAACAAAGGGAUUAGGUGAGGCUCAAAAGAGGAAGACAGGUUGAAAAUCUAUACAAGAAGUAGGUAGACCUUCCAGGAUCCCCUACCUCACCUGUGCAUCCAGGUGACCAUCACCCUCCUUUCCUAGCAGACCAGAGAUUUCUCUUUAAGAAGCUGAACCAUAGAGACUCUAGACUCAGGGACACUGGGCACCAGGAAGGUAAGGUACCAACACUGAAAAAGGGGAGGUCUGCAGAACAUCUAUAUACUGAAGGCUGAGACCUCCCAGUUUCCUUACUUUCCUCUAUUGGAAGAACACUGGCAGCCAAGAUGAUACAACAAAUGCAGGAGAAAGAGGAUUUCUUCUCCAGGGACUCUGAGCAGACAAGAAGAUACGAUCUCCAGAUACUGACAAUUGGGGUUUCCCCAAUAAAAUAGCUCAACUAGGCCACCCAUUAUGAAUCCUAGGUUUUGCAAACUCUUUCAGAUUUUUAAGGCCUCCCUCUUAAACUUGAGAAAGUCAGCAAGGAUCAUUCAACAUGUGAGGAAAGCCCGUAACAGGAAAGCAGAGACCAAGACAAGCGGAAGCAGAAAGAAAAUCAAACCUGGAAGAAAGAGAAACAAUGCAGUGAGCAGAAUAAAGCUGAAAAAACUAAUAAUUGAAAUCUCAGAAAUAAAUCUAUCCAUCAAACAAGAUUAUUAGAUAUCUGUUUCAGCUGAUGAUAGCGUAAUAGGAACCAGAUUCAUCCUCCCUCCUGAAACAACUAAAAAUCUGAACAAAUAGAUGAAACUGACCUUCAGACAUUAGAAAUCAGGCAGCAUGGGGGAUUGACAACUGAGAGAGGGGAAACAAAAGCAGUGAGCCCUCAGAUUGCCCCAGGGUACUGCCUAGAGAGAGUUGCCAAGUCACAGCAGUGAGAGAAGAACUCAUAUGGAGCCUGGUGGCCUCUCUGAGUUCAGGAGACAGAGCUGGGGGUCUGGCAAGGCCAAAGUAGCUGGAGUUCACAGGGCAGAUACUGGAGAAGAGAGAACUGCACAGAUAGCUUUGGAGAUCUGCAAACACCCCCAGUAGUCUUCAGCUGAGCACUGAUAAGUGCAUAUACGUGAGGAAAUGACCUGAGGCUGGGCAAAGAACUAGCUCAAAAGGGCAAAGGGGACAACAACUCUGAAACUUACUCAGGGAUAAGAAUAGUUCAUAUUGUCCCCAGCUAGAUUGUCACCAGACCAUUCCUCAUGAUUCAUAGGGAAGUGGGUAGAGUACUCAAAAGGGUGUUGCCUUAAUGAUGGGGCAAAAUAGCCUGAGAAUAAAGGUUGCUCUGGUGCAGCCUAGCAAAGCUUAAAGCAAGUCUCAAAAAUAUCAAACUGUUUACAAGUAAGUUGACUGCAUGUAAGAAUAUUUACACCAAUACAAAAACAUCCAUUAGCCAAUAAGGUAAAAUUCACAAGGUCUGGAAUAAAGUAAAUCUUGAUCAAGAGUGCAAAGAAAUAGGACCCAUAAUGAAGAGAAAAAUCUGUAUAAACAGGCCCAGAGAUGACCAGAAUGAUAGAAUUAGACAACAGUUAUUAUAACCAUAUUCUAUAAGUUCAAGGAGGUAGAGAAAAGAUGUAACAUGUUAAGUAGAGAUAUGGGAGACAUAAAAGAGAACCAAAUCAAAAUUCUAGAGGUGAAAAAUAUGCUGCAUGGGAUUAACAGAAUAUUAGGCACUGAAGAAGAUGAACUUGAGAACAUGACCAAAGGAAUUAUCUAAAUAAAAUACAGAGAGAAAAAAAGACAGAAAAAAACCUGAACAGGGCAGCAGUGAACUGCAGGACAACUUGAAGUGGCCUAUUAUAUGUGUAAUUGGAAUCCCAGCAAGAGAAGACAGCAGAGUCGGGUGGGGGUGGGAGACAAAAAAAAAAUAUUUGAAGAAAUAAUGGCCAAAAUUUCCCCAAUCUGAUGAAAAUGAUAAACCCACAAAUCUAAGAAAUUCAGUAAACCCCAAGUAUAAGAAAAAUAAAGAAAACUACACCAAGCCACACCAUAAUCAAAUUGUUUAAAAUCAGAGAUAAAGAGAAAAUCUUAAGAGCAGACAGAAAAAGAUACAUUGCAUUUAGAUAAAAGUGAUAAAGACUUCUUGUUGGAAACAAGCAAGCCAGAAGACUUUGGAGCAACAUAUUUAAGUACUGAAAGGAAAAAAAUAGUCAGACUAGAAUUCUACACCUGGUGAAAAUAUACUUCAGAGACAAAAGCAAAAUAAGGACUUUUUUGGACAUAUCAAAACAGAAAGAAUGUAGCACCAGGAGACACAAACUAUAAGAAGUGUUUAAAGAGGUCACAGAGAUGGAAG